CAUUUCCACACGUAAACUCUCACACAGACACACGGGUCAGUCUGGAGACAGAUGAGGGUCUGGUAUAAGGGUGGGUAAUAACAGUAUUGCUCUCUCAGAUGUUUAUAAAGUAAGUCAAAAACCAAAAACACACAUAGCACUGACACAUAAUUUACUGUAUGCUACAAAGAAAACAUCAACAUUGCGCCGUAUAAUGUUAACAAAUAAAUAAUAAUGUAAUCAUAAUUGUCUUUUUAUUGUAGAAAAAAAGAAAUAAAAGCAGACAAAUAUAAUCCAAAAUAAGAUAAAAUAUAAUACAGAUGAUUUUUGUCUCUUUUUUUAAUUAAAAAUGUUGCACAAUUUUUUUUAUUUAUUCUUUUAUACAUACAAACAUUUGUACAAAGAGGGAUGGCCAUGUACAUAUAGUGGGAUCUGUAGCGCUAGUUGCUAUAGUUACCAUGGUUUACAUUAUGUACAUGCUAAUCAGAAACACAUAGCAGCAACAGCAGCAUCCACAGGUAGACCAGAUCAGGUAGACCAGGUAGACCAGGUGUACCAGGUAGACCAGGUAGAUCAGGUGGACCAGGUAGACCAGGUGGACCAGAUAGACCAGGUGGACCAGGUAGACCAGGUGGACCAGGUAGACCAGGUAACAGAGGACCGACUGACGACCUGGACA